rnacentral:tRNA from 1 species
GCAAAGAUAGCUUAACGACAAAGCAAAGCACUGAAAACGCUUAAAUAAAGGUUUAAGUCCUUUUCUUAGCA